UACAGGGGGUGCAAACGUUGCUCGGAAUCAUUGGGCGUAAAGCGCACGUAGGUGGUCGUUUAAGUUGGAUGUGAAAGCCCUGGGCUCAACUCAGGAAGUGCAUCCAAAACUGAACGGCUGGAGUAUGAAAGAGGGUCGCGGAAUUCCCGGUGUAGAGGUGAAAUUCGUAGAUAUCGGGAGGAACACCAGUGGCGAAGGCGGCGACCUGGUUCAAUACUGACGCUGAGGUGCGAAAGCGUGGGGAGCAAACAGG
rnacentral:rRNA from 1 species